rnacentral:misc_RNA from 1 species
GAGAUAUUGUCGUGGCGUAACUGCAAUUGUGUAUGUAGUUGAUUCUGCUGAUAGAGACAGUGUUCCCAUAUCAAAAAGUGAACUCCAUGAGCUCUUAACAAAGCCUUCUUUAAGUGGAAUUCCUUUGCUUGUGCUGGGCAACAAAAUUGACAAAUCAGAAGCACUUUCCAAGCAAGCACUGGUCGAUUUGUUAGAACUUGAAACAAUUCG